AAUAGAUACCCUGGUAGUCCACGCCGUAAACGAUGUCGACUUGGAGGUUGUUCCCUUGAGGAGUGGCUUCCGGAGCUAACGCGUUAAGUCGACCGCCUGGGGAGUACGGCCGCAAGGUUAAAACUCAAAUGAAUUGACGGGGGCCCGCACAAGCGGUGGAGCAUGUGGUUUAAUUCGAUGCAACGCGAAGAACCUUACCUACUCUUGACAUCCAGAGAACUUAGCAGAGAUGCUUUGGUGCCUUCGGGGACUCUGAGACAGGUGCUGCAUGGCUGUCGUCAGCUCGUGUUGUGAAAUGUUGGGUUAAGUCCCGCAACGAGCGCAACCCUUAUCCUUUGUUGCCAGCGGUUUCGGCCGGGAACUCAAAGGAGACUGCCAGUGAUAAACUGGAGGAAGGUGGGGAUGACGUCAAGUCAUCAUGGCCCUUACGAGUAGGGCUACACACGUGCUACAAUGGCAUAUACAAAGAGAAGCGACCUCGCGAGAGCAAGCGGACCUCACAAAGUAUGUCGUAGUCCGGA
rnacentral:rRNA from 1 species